GGAGGCUUCCGCCUGCCUCAUCGCCACCUUGACACCCUGCACCCUCCAGAUCCCUAGCCCCUGGCCGAAGGCCCAGUCGCACCCUGAACCCGGGGAGCUGAGGGAGUAGAAGGAAAGACAGAAAAGAAGCCACGGGGAAUCUGGAAAACGCUGGGAAGCGCCCCCACCUCGAGGUCCUCGAAAGCCAAGGCCUUAUCCGUACUGGUGGAACUUUGUGCUGUUCUGAAGAUGGAGAUUCACUCGAUGGCUUCUUGCGGAGACUUUCAGGACCCAGCUGGACCUGGGUCGAGUUCCUCACCUUCUUAUGCCAAGAGUACUGCGCGUCCUGUCCUGCAAAGCCCUCGGGCUCCUCGCAGGCAGAGAGGACCAGAGGAUACCUCUUUGCAGUUCGACGACCCGGUGUGACGGUGGAUAUGGGAAUCCAGGAAGAAGAUCGGGUUGCAUUGCGGAGGGGAUGCCGCGCCCGUCCGGCCACCACCUCCGCAGCAAGGAGGCCCGCGGGUUCCUAGGGACCCCGCCUAGCGGUGUUGUUCUCUCCUCUUACUCUCUUGGCGCAGCAGGGGCGCCCAGCUGGAAAUUAGAGCAGGGAGGGAGGAAUUCUGAAGGCGCGAGGGGAUGAUAUCUGGGGCCAGAGUGAGGCUAGGCCUGGAUGCUUCGCCGGGGACGCGGGAGCUGCAGGGAGCUGGGCGCAGGCACUGCUCUAAUCGCCGACCGCUAUUAAAAAUAAAACCGCGACCCGUCGUCAUAGCGACCGCAGCAACAGCGGCAGCGCGAGGGUGGUAAGAGCUUGUGUAGCCCGGCGCCAGCCGCCUGAGGGGACUGGGGCACGAGCCCUUAAGCUUACAGGGUGCUCUCAUGUGAGACAGCGAUCCCUAACCCCUCACCUCCAUGGGUCCUCGGAAGACUCCUAAGAGAUGGACGCCUGAUCUCUGAAAACUGGGACUGGCUAAAUCAUGUAGUCAAGGGCCUAAAGGAGAACUAGCCAACUCAGACCACCCCCUUGCCUCGGUUUCCCUUGGGACCCGCUGCUCCAGUCCUCAUUUUGGUCUCUGGAGAAAGGGCUGUAUGAGGGGGGUGAGGUUCAGGUGUCAGGCUUCCAGAGAACACCAAGAAACCAAGCCGAGCUGGUGGCGUUGCAUGCGCUUGAGGCCACCGCACCUGUCCCGCCCGCGCCUCGGUGAUCCCUUCUGGUGGGAGAGAUCACGUGCUUCCCUCUGGCUGGGAUUCGAGUUUCACUUCCAGCCGCUAUUAGGCGGUUCGCUCGGUUCACUGCAAACAUUUGAUAAUGAGGCUAAAUAUACUUUAGAGUCGGAGGAGACGUGGGCGGCUGCUGCCCUAGCCUGUAGGUGCGUCGCUCCAGGCUCCACGGGGCAUCCCUGCCCCAGCCGCUCAGAAGAACCCCCAAGCCUGGUGCCAGAGAAAGACCCGUACCCACUCCCAAAUAACCCUAUCCCCACCAGGACAAACAUCUUAGAGGCGGUGGACACCUGAUGGUCAGCUGGAGGGUCCCUAGAGGAAGAAGGCAUUAGCAGCCGGGAGCUCGGAGACAUAGGGGAGGAGGUGGAGAGGGGCACCAGAAGGUGCACCUGGCGGUGACCGGGGAUGUCCGGUCGCCCCCGGAGCGGAUGCUUCCGGCCUGUCUCCAGCGCCCCUGGCGCUGCGCGAUAUGUCCGCCCGCCCAUAAUUAAAGUGUCAAGUGUUUGAAAUAGCCCAAAAGAGGCCUGAGCAGCUGAGGUGACCAUCUAACCCUUGAUGAUGCCCUCUCCAACCAAGACUCCGAGCACACAGGGGGGGGGGGGAAUAGACACGGCUUUGAGAGGAGGGAGACCAUCCGACUGGACUAAGAAAUCACUGCAUAGCCCAACAUCUUAAACGUGAAGCACUUAGCCAGUGCCCUUCAAUUGCUUGGAACUCAAUUAUCCGUGCUCAGUUAUUGCAGUCGUUGUUACUUAUUAGCUGCAAGGACCGAUACUGAGCCCUGAUACUGAUGCAGGUCUUUUCCCCUGUGAAAUAAUUUCAUACCGAGGCAGAGGGACUUAGACACCCCUUCCAGUCCACAGAGAACAGGUGAAACUAAGUCCCAAGCACCAAGUGUCCCAUCCCUUGGGAGAUGCAAGAAUACCGGAAACUAGAAUGGAUCAGGUUGCAUUUGUACUAGGCAAGAAUGUGAAGGCUGUAUGGAUGGGUAGCUCCAGGUCUAGACAUCCCAUCCCAACCCCUAGAAGAGAAACAUCGAAGCCCUCGGUUCUCUGUGCUGUUGACUUUAUUCUUGAUGUGAUCUGUCCCUGGCUCACCUUGAAUUUGGUUCCUUUAUCUGGGGAAACAAAAAAAGAAGCAAAAAAAAAAAAAAAAAACCCUGGAAGCCAGUGUACCACCCUGUAGGUGGUCUCCGCACCCAGCAGCCCCCAGGAACCCAUAGGACCCUCUCUAUGUGGGUGGGGCCAGCUGGGCCCCAGGCAUCCAGGCUCUGCCAGAGCCAUCCCAGAACAAUUUGUAAUGUUGAAACACCAGUUUCCCUUUAUCUCUGGGCAAGGCUUUCUUGGUUCUGGGCAAUUAACCCAAAUAGAGCCUCAGCCAUGUGGGCUCUGGUCCUUGAAGAUCAAAAGUGCCCAGCCACAAGCCUUAAUUAUGUCAUUAUCUUGCCCCCCUUCUUCCCCCAGGCUAAGGAUCGGGCCUUUCCAGUUCAGGCUCCCCAGAAAGCAAGAUAACUCUGUGCUGGGGUGGGAGGGCACCUCCAGGAUGCUUUCCACUCCCUAGUAUGUGCUUUUAUUUUCACUUUUAAAUACACAAACAGAAAUUAUGUUUAAAAUAGCCUAUAAACCCACAAUAGACUUGUGAAUAUUUUGUGAAUGAAGGCCUACAUAAAGGAAUGUAUGGUGGCUUUUUAAAAGGAAAAGCCUAGGCGUUAGGGAAUGCAACACAGUUGAUAGUGUGCUUGCCUUAAUACACAAGACCCUGAAUUCUGUUCCCAGCACCAAACAAAAACAACUCCAGUAAAGCAUGCUUGUAAUUCCAGCAUUCUGGUGGCAAGAGAUUGGGAGUUCAAGGUCAUCCUUGAGACACAGUGAGCUCAAGGCCAGUUGGGGAUGCAUUAGACCCUGACUUAGGAAGGAAGGAAGGAAGGAAGGAAGGAAGGAAGGAAGGAAGGAAGGAAGGAAGGAAGGAAGGAAGGAAGGAGAGGAGAGGAGAGGAGAGGAGAGGAGAAAGACCAGCCAGGCAUGGUGGUACAUAUCUAUAAUCCUAGUACUCAUGAGGCUGAGGCACAAGGAUUACCUCAACUUGAAAGAUAGCCUGGGCUACAUAGUAAGAUUCCCAUUUCAAAAAAACCAAAACAGCAAAAAAAAAAAAAAAAAAAAGGAAGCCCAAAAUGUAAAUUCUGUCCUGGUCUCAGAAGUUGAAGCCACAUGUGGCCGCUGGGAUUUAGGGGUGUCUGAUCACAACUGUUGCCUGCAAAGUGUGGGGGUUUAAGAAGACUCAAAGCCAGGCGUUGGUGGCGCACGACUUUAAUCUCAGUACUCGGGAGCCAGAGGCAGGCGGAUUUCUGUGAGUUCGAAGCCAGCUUGGUCUACAGAGAGAGUUCCAGGACAGCCUCCAAAACAAUACAGAGAAACCCUGUCUCGAAAAACCAAAAAAAAAAAAAAAAAGAAGAAGAAGACUCAAGAUUCUAGAUCCCAUGCAGGGUAGAGAAAAACUUUAUUUUUUUUUUUUAACAUUUUAGGUGUGUGAGUGUCUUUCAUAUGUGUCUGUGUACCACAUGCAUGCCUGGUGCCUGUAGAGCCCAGAAGAGGGCAUCGGAUCCCCUGAAAGUGGAGCUACAGAUGGUUGUGAGCUGCCUGCCAUGUGGUUGCUGAGAAUCAAACCCAGGUCCUCUGGAAGAGCAGCCAGUGCUUGUAACUGCUGGGGCAUCUCUCCAGACCCCAGAAUAAAACUUUUUGUUAGUAA